AUACGGAGGAUGCAAGCGUUAUCCGGAUUUAUUGGGUUUAAAGGGUGCGUAGGCGGUUUGCUAAGCGGGAGGUGAAAUGCCGGCGCUCAACGUCGGAAGUGCCUCCCGAACUGGUGGACUUGAAUGACUCUGCCGUGGGAGGAAUGUGUAGUGUAGCGGUGAAAUGCUUAGAGAUUACACAGAACACCGAGUGCGAAGUCAUCUCACGAAGGGGUGAUUGACGCUGAGGCACGAAAGCGUGGGGAUCAAACAGGAUUAGAUACCCUGGUAGUCCACGCCGUAAACGAUGAAGGCUAAACGCUGGGCUUAUCAGUUCAGUGGCCAAGCGAAAGCGAUUAGCCAUCCACCUUGGGAGUACGACCGCAAGGUGGAAGCUCAAAUGAAUUGACGGGG
rnacentral:rRNA from 1 species